rnacentral:rRNA from 1 species
CCUACGGGUGGCAGCAGUGGGGAAUAUUGCACAAUGGGGGAAACCCUGAUGCAGCGACGCCGCGUGAGUGAAGAAGUAUUUCGUUACGUAAAGCUCUAUCAGCAGGGAAGAAAAUGACGGUACCUGAGUAAGAAGCCCCGGCUAACUACGUGCCAGCAGCCGCGGUAAUACGUAGGGGGCAAGCGUUAUCCGGAUUUACUGGGUGUAAAGGGAGCGUAGACGGCAGUGCAAGUCUGGAGUGAAAGGCGGGGCUCAACCCCCGGACUGCUGUGGAAACUGUGCGGCUGGAGUGCAGGAGAGGUAAGUGGAAUUCCUAGUGUAGCGGUGAAAUGCGUAGAUAUUAGGAGGAACACCAGUGGCGAAGGCGGCUUACUGGACUGUAACUGACGUUGAGGCUCGAAAGCGUGGGGAGCAAACAGGAUUAGAUACCCGGGUAGUC